rnacentral:lncRNA from 1 species
AGCAAGAAAGAGAUGAAGAAGCCGAUAACCUGGGGACUCCCCCAAGAUACUGUUAGAUGAGAAAAGCAAGAGGCAGAAACCCGUGUAAUAAAAGACCCAUUUUGGUACAACGAAGAGAAACUGUCCCCUGUUAGGAUACCUGUAUGUAAUCACUUCGGCAUGGAAAAGUGCACACCUGGAAAAGAGGGGCUGAGGGCGGGACGGAGACAUUCAUUAAGGACCGGCUGGCUUUUGAGCAAGAGCAUAAACUUUAAAUAAACCGGAAAUAAUUCGUCAAUAAAGGUGUUAAAAAAGAAAAAAAAAAAAAAAGAUGCUGUCCCAGCACAAGACAGGGAGAGACGCCCGGGAUGGGAGGAGGGAUGGGAGGAGGAAUGGAUGGGACAUGGACAUCAAAACCUCUGGGUACAUUUGACAUUAGUGUGUAGACAUUAUGUGUGUCUAGUAAAGGACGAAUAUUCCUGUUUAAAAACAAAACAAGCCCAAAAGAAAAGAAAAAUAAGCUACUCCCGGGAAAUGCAAGCCCCAGGUGACUUACAGGGAGGGGAGGGGCCAGCGCGGAAGGAAAUGGCUUUCAGGUGACUUUGAAACUGGAUCCAGGCCGAGGGUAAGGUGAAGACAGCGGGGCUCCCGGCUACCCACGGCGGGGGAAAGAGAUUGUUUCUAAGAGCUAAACAUCAGCCCGCUGUGCUAACACCAUUGAGACUUUGCCAGUGCGUUUCCUCCAUGUGGCGGUACUGCAUUCACCAUGCCGUGGGUCCACGGAUGCAAGAGUUGACCUUUCAGGAGCAGCCCAAAUGGACGGAAACAACAGCUUUACCAGGAUCACAGGGAGCUCGCCAAAGGAAGGAGGCAUGCUCACCCUCAAUGCAGUGGGGCCACUGCUGGAGGUCACACGGUACUGCCCAGGGUCAACUGAUGCAUGGCUCGUGCCAAUAAAUCCCAGACCUGGAGAACCACCUGGAGAGUUUGGAAAAUUCACAGGGUCAACUUCUCCUUAUAUUUCCUGAAUCUCCAUCUUGUAGGUGGUGUGUUUUUUUGAUCUUUCUGUUUUUGUUUCCUCUAGUUUUAUUGAGAUAUAAUAAACAUACAGGUUUCCCUGGUAGCUCA